GCAUUGGUGGUUCAGUGGUAGAAUUCCUGCCUCCCAUGCAGGAGACCCGGGUACGAUUCCCAGCCAAUGCA